rnacentral:rRNA from 1 species
GUCUUUUUGAUUAUAAUUUAAAGUCUGACCUGCCCAAUGAAAGUUUAAAUGGCCGCGGUAAUUUGACCGUGCAAAGGUAGCAUAAUCAUUAGUUUUUUAAUUGAAAGCUGGAAUGAAUGGUUGGACGAGAAAAUGACUGUCUCAAUUUAAUUGGAUAUAGAAUUUUAUUUAUAAGUUAAAAAGCUUAUAUAAAUUUAAAAGACGAGAAGACCCUAUAGAAUUUAAUAUUUUUAUAUGCUUAUAUUUUUUUAGAAUAAGUAAAUUUUAGUUUUUAAAAAUAUUUUGUUGGGGUGACAGAAAAAUUAAGUUAACUUUUUUUAUAUACUAAAUCAUGAAUUAAUGAAUAAUUGAUCCGUUUAUUACGAUUAUAAGAUUAAAUUACCUUAGGGAUAACAGCGUAAUUUUUUUUUAGAGUUCUUAUCGAAAAAAGAGUUUGCGACCUCGAUGUUGGAUUAAAAUUAACUUUUGGUGUAGGGGCUAAAUAGUUAGGUCUGUUCGACCUUUAAAAUUUUACAUGAUCUGAGU